rnacentral:tRNA from 1 species
GAGGGUGUAGCUCAGUGGUAGAGUGCGUGCUUAGCAUGCUUGAGGUCCUGGGUUCAAUCCUUGAUACCUCCA